GACGAACGCUGGCAGCGUGCUUAACACAUGCAAGUCGAACGGUGAAGCGCCUUCCUUUUUGGUGGGUGUGGAUGAGUGGCGAACGGGUGAGUAACACGUGAGUAACCUGCCCCCUUCUUCUGGAUAACCGCAUGAAAGUGUGGCUAAUACGGGAUAUUCUGGGUCUGUCGCAUGAUGGGUCUGGGAAAGAUAUUGUUUCGGUGGGGGAUGGGCUCGCGGCCUAUCAGCUUGUUGGUGGGGUGAUGGCCUACCAAGGCGGUGACGGGUAGCCGGCCUGAGAGGGUGGACGGCCACACUGGGACUGAGACACGGCCCAGACUCCUACGGGAGGCAGCAGUGGGGAAUAUUGCACAAUGGGCGCAAGCCUGAUGCAGCGACGCCGCGUGAGGGAUGGAGGCCUUCGGGUUGUGAACCUCUUUCGCCAGUGAAGCAGGCCUGCCUCGUUUGUGGGUGGGUUGACGGUAGCUGGAUAAGAAGCGCCGGCUAACUACGUG
rnacentral:rRNA from 1 species